rnacentral:rRNA from 1 species
UACGGGGGGAGCAAGCGUUGUUCGGAUUUACUGGGCGUAAAGGGCGCGUAGGCGGCCUCCGCAAGUCAAUUGUGAAAUCUCCGGGCUUAACUCGGAAAGGUCAACUGAUACUGCGGGGCUAGAGUGCGGAAGGGGCAACUGGAAUUCUUGGUGUAGCGGUGAAAUGCGUAGAUAUCAGGAAGAACACCUAUGGCGAAGGCAGCUCUCUGGGACGGUACUGACGCUGAGACGCGAAAGCGUGGGGAGCGAACAGG